ACUCCUACGGGAGGCAGCAGUAGGGAAUAUUGGACAAUGGGCGAAAGCCUGAUCCAGCAAUGCCGCGUGAGUGAUGAAGGCCUUAGGGGUUGUAAAGCUCUUUUACCCGGGAUGAUAAUGACAGUACCGGGAGAAUAAGCUCCGGCUAACUCCGUGCCAGCAGCCGCGGUAAUACGGAGGGAGCUAGCGUUGUUCGGAAUUACUGGGCGUAAAGCGCACGUAGGCGGCUAUUCAAGUCAGAGGUGAAAGCCCGGGGCUCAACCCCGGAACUGCCUUUGAAACUAGAUAGCUUGAAUCCAGGAGAGGUGAGUGGAAUUCCGAGUGUAGAGGUGAAAUUCGUAGAUAUUCGGAAGAACACCAGUGGCGAAGGCGGCUCACUGGACUGGUAUUGACGCUGAGGUGCGAAAGCGUGGGAGCAAACAGGAUUAGAUACCCUGGUAGACUGUCA
rnacentral:rRNA from 1 species